UCAGUUAUGAACAGCGAAGCAGCACAAGAAUACAGUUCUUUUAGUUCGUUAGCGAAUCUGGAAAAGAAUAAAGUCAUCUGUCAAGCUCUGUUCACUUUGGUUCGACAUUCCUCACCUCUCCCACUUGAGCUCUCUCUCUUUCCCUCCUCCGCUUUAGGAAACCGCCGGCUCCGCCGCCACCUCAACCAAUAAGGCUUCAAAUCUCCACCAGAAAAGUUAAUACAUACAUAAAUAACAAGAACAGCAGGGGAGGGGGAGGGGUUUGACAGUGAAAGAAAUGAUAGUGAUGUUAAUGGACCCAUGAAAGGGAUAUCUUGCAGAAACAUUGGAUCUUUAAUGCCUAUUAGGUUCUGAUUCAAUCGAAUUGGAGCCGAUCAAAAUUGUAAUGACCCAGUUUCUUUUAUGACCUGGACUGGGCUUUACAUGCCCUUGAUUAUGCCCAAGAAGAAAACUAAAGAAAUAUUUCUUCUGGUAUGUAAGAAGAAAUAUUAUGUAUUUUCAGCAUAUUACAUAGAUUGGGUAUAGAGUGUAUCCUCUGGGAUCGCUAGGGAUACAAGAUUUGCAGCCAAAAAUAUGACCUGACAUGUUGAGGAAACAGAAAGGAGGUGUUUCUUUAAACACAAGGCAGAUUUUUAUGAUUUUCUUCCUUUUGGUCAUUAAAUUUUUUUAAAAGCGGCUUUGGUUCGAUUCUUACAAGCUACGGGCAAAUCUUCAGCGUUUCGACAAGCAGCCUCAUGAGCAAAGGAAAGACAAUCUGCGACCACUCCAAGCUUCUCGUUGCUCCCCUGUUCCGAUUAGAAACAGAGAUUCAAGAAGCUAUGCCACUGUCUUGAGACAGGAGUUCGAAUGAAAUCUACUAGACAUUGAAGAUAAAUCAGGAAGAGGAAAAGAAGCCUCAAUCACUCUCAACAUGAGUGUUUGAAGUGGCUCGACUCAAAGAAACCAAAUUCAGUUGUUUAUAUUUGCUUUGGAAGCAUGGCAAACUUCACUGCCUCUCAGCUUAAGGAGAUUGUAGCAGGUCUCGAAGCUUUUGGGCAUCAAUUUAUCUGGGUAGUUAGAAGAAACGAAAAGAGUCAGGAAGACAAGGGAGAUUGUUACCUGAAGGAUUUGAGGAAAGAAUGGAAGGCAAAGGGCACUCCAAGUUUUGAUUCUUGAUCAUAAAGCAAUAGGUGCAUUUGUGACUCAUUGAGGAUGGAACUCAACUCUUGAAGGCAUAAGGCCAAUAUUUGCUGAGCAAUUCUACAAUGAAAUGUUGGUGACUGAUGCUUUAAAAACUGGAGUUAAGGAAUGGCUUAGAGUGCAUGGAGAUCAUGUUAAAAGGGAAGCUGUAGAGAAGGCAAUCACUCAAAUUAUGAUGGGUGAAGAAGCAGAGGAAAUGAGGAAUCCUGAGCUCUUUCAUAGUCUUAAAAGUGAGUCAGAAGGAUGAACAUGAAGCAUAUUUGAAGUUUAAAGACGAGGAUGGCCAAGUGUGGACAUUUCGUUGUAGAGUCCCACCAGGAGGGCGUUCGAAACCAGCCCUUUCUGGGGAUUGGUUUUCAUUUGUUCGUUCAAUCACAAUACACAAUCAAGAUCAAGAAAACAACUUCAACAACUCGGAACUAGUCCGUUCCAUUUACAUGCAGAAUCUUGUGAGCCCAUGAAAGAAUAAAUUUUAAAUCAAUUGCAGGUCUCUUGAAAAAUUAGUGUCAGUUACAGUUGUGCGUUCGAGUUUUCAUCUUCAAAUUGAUUGCCUGGAAAAUAGAUGUUCUUGGCAGUUAACAGGUCCAGAUGGUAUUCAGUGCAUCAAAACAAUGGACACCAAAAUGGUUUAAUUUCUUCUGAUAGUAAUGAUUGUCCCCAUAACGGGAACAGUAUAUUAGUUAGUUCCA